UACGUAGGGUGCAAGCGUUGUCCGGAAUUAUUGGGCGUAAAGAGCUCGUAGGCGGUCUGUCGCGUCUGCUGUGAAAACUCAGGGCUUAACCCUGAGCUUGCAGUGGGUACGGGCAGACUAGAGUGCGGUAGGGGAGACUGGAAUUCCUGGUGUAGCGGUGAAAUGCGCAGAUAUCAAGGAGGGAACACCGGUGGGCCGAAGGCGGGUCUCUGGGCCGUAACUGACGCU
rnacentral:rRNA from 1 species